UUGGCUUCUCUCUUAUUUGUUGGAAUUAUGAUUGUUCUCCAAAUUUAUUUAAUAUGUGCUUAAGGCAUAAUUAUGAGCCGAGAAAGAUGUUCUCCUAGCUAUCUAAUGCCACGAUUUCUGUGUGGUAUUUGGACGUCGGAGAACUAAAUCC